AGUUAUUACCCGGAUGUUCAAAAUCGAAAUCCAAACUUUUUCCCAAUUCUCGUUUCCAUCAAAAUUUGGUAUCAAAGAUUCAAAACUACUGACAUGCCUCGAUUUGAAAGUAAAAAUGACGAUCGGAGAAGAUCGUCUCCGUAUUCUUACAAAGAUCGGAAGUCGCAUCAUCACGAGGUCAAUUUUUCUCUUAAAAUUUUCUGACCAUAUCAUAAUUUGAUUCAAAUUGCUCAUAAUUUGCUUGAAUAAUUUGAUAGAAUCAUCACAAAAUCUAGUAAUUUGACCUAACGAAAGAAGUGACGACAAAUUUCUAUUGUACUGGUGAUCUUGGACGUGAACUAAAUCAAUUUAAUCUGAGAAAGAGUGCUAUAUUUUUAUUUUAUUCCAAGCAACAGUUAGUUGGAUGAAGAUUACGACUUGAAGCUCCAGUAGGACAAUUUUUUUGUGUUGUGUAGAGAUUAGGUGGGUACAUAACUCUAGCAAAACCGGUAACCUGAAUGGAAUAAGUGUUGGUGGUUUAUGGAUAUCAGGUUAUUGAGUUACCAAAUUUGUAGGAUGAGAAAUGGUUGUGUGCGAAUGGAAUUUUUAUGUUACAUUGCCACAUGGUUAUGGCUGAAGAGAAAAUGCAACCCCAAAUUGAUAGAAAUUCUCAUUUCUAAGAACUUCGAGAAUGAAAAUUAAAAUGUAUUAGCCCUGACAACGUUGGAGUAGAAAGUAUUAGCCAAGGGUGUUAGAGUUACCUUGGAGUAGUAAUCGACCUUGGUGUCUAUCAUGGGAGAGUAAUGUUGACAAAAAGAAGUAGGUGGUUUAUUCCAAUACUUCUUAAGUUUUGGUGGAAAAAGAGCUGCCCGGUAUAUGUGCUAGUGAGAAAUUGAAGGUACUCGGUGGAUUAGUUGAGCUACAGGUAUGUUGACUAGUGCAUCAUCAUACUAAAGGUAAAAGGAAGUACUUAAAAAUUAUGUCCCCCAUGUAGCAAUUCCAUACUUUUUAUCUACUAUGCCAAUUUAAAGUUGCUAAACAUAUCCUGGAACCAUGUAGAAUGGUGUUGGAUAUAUUAUGGAACAAUGGUUUUAGAUACUAAGUCGCUUGGACUAUCUACUUUAGGUGCCGCACCCGUGUCGACACAACAUGGGUGAUUGGGUGUGGGUGUGAGAUUCAUGUCCGAUUUGGCCAACCGAUUUUGAGUAUUUUGACCAAAAUCGAUGGGAAUUUGGAUAGUUUUAAUGAUUUCUAUAAUCAAUACAAAAGCUAAGGCAAAAUUGAAGAAAAUGGAAUACCUUUUAUAUAGAAAUUUCUAUGUUACUCUUUUUUCCUUUAAUCUCCUUCCAAGAUUUUCCUCAAGUUCUCCACAUAAUAUCUAAUUUAUAACUCUAUUUUUUAGAUAUUUCAAUUACUUUUAGGCGAAUCCCGCACCUGGAUCCAUAUUCCCAAAUCUUAAAAAUUAGAUCAUGAAGGAUCGGACCUCUAGAUUCGCACCCGCAUCGGACACCCGCACCUGCAGUGGCAGAGUCGGGAUUUUCAAUAAGGGGGUUCAAAAUUCAUAGAAAUAGACUCGGAAUAGCCGAAGAGGGUUCAACAUCUACUAUAUAUACAUAAAAUAUUAUUUUAAUCAUGUAUAAAUAUUAUAAUUUUCCGUCGAAGGGGGUUGUACCAAGGUGGAUCCGCCACUGUGCACCUGAGUCCGAGCAACUUAGGUUGGACAUAUAAUGGAACUUUAGUAUUUGAUGUUUAAUAAUUAAAAUCUGCAUGUUGUAUUCAUGCAAUUCGAUUUAAUUUCAAGCACUCUUACUUAAAAUAACCUGUCUCUUUUUUGUUUCCUACAUUGUCAACUCCAUAGAAGAAGCUUUUGAUUGGGAAUUUUGAUCAGUUAGGCCAAUUUUAGUUUGUAUGUCAUCUCCUGAACUCGUGAGCAUAUAUUUCUUUGCUUGCUGCUAUGGCCUAAUUUCAGAAUAUCGUCUAAUUGAGCUUCUCCAGAGCCAGUCUAAUGGAUCGCAGCACUUUAGAGUGAAGGCUAAUUAUUCUGGAGAUCAAUACCGUCACGGUCACCGUCAGCGUGAGGACUACAAGGAUAAAAGCACCAGGAGCCACAGAAGAAAUGACGACAAUGAGGAUUACAGCCGUUCCAGGAACCAUAAAUUUGACAGGCGCCAAGAUCGUGGAGGUAGAUAUAAGGGUGAAACAUGUGGAUCCCGUUCUAGGUCAAAGGAUCGGUCUCAUGAAGAAGCUAGAUCAAGAUCAAGUUCUCCUUUACCCCCAAAGAGCAGUGGGCAGGUGAAAUCUGAACAGGAGUGUGUAUUAGCUCAGGCAAGGCUGCACAUAGCUAUGCAGAAAUGGCUUUUGAAGCUAGUGGUAUGACUAUUCCUGGUACAGAGAUAGGGCCUGUUGUGACUGCUGAAAUUCCAACCAAGGUGAUUACCCCUCAAGAAUUAUUUGAUGACGUAGAGUAUGAAGAAAUUUUGGAAGACAUGAAGAAGGAGGCCAAAAAUUUGGUGACUUGAUUGAUGUUGUUAUUCCUCGGCCAGAACCUGAUCAAAAAAUGGUGAUGGUUUUGGGAAGGUAUUUCUCGAGUACUCUGACACUAUCGAUUGCACGAAAGCAAAGGCAGCACUUGGUGGCAGGAAAUUUGGAGGGAAUACUGCUGUUGCCAUUUUUUAUCCUGAAGACAAAUGCUACAAGAAGGAUUAUGCCUCUUAAUUUUCUGAAUAUCUUCCAUGUUUAUAGUCUUGUAUAGUUUUAGUGCUUGCAAUCGGCCAUUUAGCUGCGGUCAAGGCCGUUCGAUAAUUAUUUUUCUUCCAUCACAAUUGCAACGCUAACCCAGCCAUAUGGUGGGUGGUUUGAGCUGCUUGAUAUAGUCUCUCUAUUAGGAGAAGUUUUUCAUGUUUCAAACUAUUGUAAUGACCAGAUUUUGGAUAUAUCUAUAUAAUGCUCAAUAUUACUAAAAUAUAAGCCUUGUUCAACUAUUA